rnacentral:rRNA from 1 species
GACGAACGCUGGCGGCGUGCCUAAUACAUGCAAGUCGAACGCAGUUGCGAACGGGUGAGUAACGCGUAGGUAACUGCCUCAUAGCGGGGGAUAACUAUUGGAAACGAUAGCUAAUACCUCAUACUGUGAGAUUGACCUGCGGUGUAUUAGCUAGUUGGUGAGGUAAAGGCUCACCAAGGGGACGAUACAUAGCCGACCUGAGAGGGGGAUCGGCCACACUGGGGCUGAGACACGGCCCAGAGUCUUACGGGAGGCAGCAGUAGGGAAUAUUCGGCAAUGGACGGAAGACUGACAGAGCAACGCGGCGUGAGUGAAGAAGGUGUUCGGAUAGUAAAGCUCUGUUGUUAGAGAAGCGGUAACUAAACAGAAAGGGACGGCUAACUACGUGCCAGCAGCCGCGGUAAUAC